CUUACACAAGUACUUCAGUAUUUUGCUCAAGCUGUUCAGAGCCUCCAGACCUCCCAGGCACAUGGAAGUUCUGUCAUUCCUUCUGAGUCUGCCCUUCCUUGUUUUGCCUCUGGGCUUCAAGUCUCUGGAGAGAAGUCUGGUCAAGAUAACUUCCGUAUAGCUCUUUUUCAUUUGUGCUUCUUAGGAUCAUCUCUCAAGCAAGUACCUAUUCCCAUGUUCUUGUUCCCAG